GCCUGGGUGGCUCAGUCGGUUGGGCGUCUGACUUCGGCUCAGGUGAUGAACUCACUUUCGUGGGUUUGAACCCCGCGUGGGGCU
rnacentral:tRNA from 1 species